UACAGAGGUCUCAAGCGUUGUUCGGAUUCAUUGGGCGUAAAGGGUGCGUAGGCGGCGCGGUAAGUCGUGUGUGAAAUCUUGGAGCUUAACUCCGAAACUGCAUUCGAUACUGCCGUGCUUGAGGACUGGAGAGGAGACUGGAAUUUACGGUGUAGCGGUGAAAUGCGUAGAUAUCGUAAGGAAGACCAGUGGCGAAGGCGGGUCUCUGGACAGUUCCUGACGCUGAGGCACGAAGGCCAGGGGAGCAAACGGG
rnacentral:rRNA from 1 species